UACGAAAGGGGCUAGCGUUGUUCGGAAUUACUGGGCGUAAAGCGCACGUAGGCGGCCUUGUAAGUUGGGGGUGAAAUCCCGGGGCUCAACCCCGGAACUGCCUCCAAAACUACAAAGCUAGAGGCUGUGAGAGGAGAGUGGAAUUCCGAGUGUAGAGGUGAAAUUCGUAGAUAUUCGGAAGAACACCAGUGGCGAAGGCGACUCUCUGGUGCAGUUCUGACGCUGAGGUGCGAAAGCGUGGGGAGCAAACAGG
rnacentral:misc_RNA from 1 species